UGUAGGCUGAAAUUACAAAGCAACAAUUAAAAGUUGGAUCACUGGUUACCUUGAGUUAGCCAUGUUUACCUUAGUUAUGCUGGAUCUCAAUGCUUUGUGGGAAAAAAAGUAGAAAAUGAGCCUUCAUCAUGGAUGUCCAGAAAAUUAACAGAUGACAACGGAUACCCUCUCCGGGUCAGCUUUACUGAAGUUCAAUGCAUAUCACCUGUUACUAUAGAAAUGUAGUCUCAAGUCACAUCUCAUCAUAUUACUCACAUGUUACCCUUGUUUCUGGACCCAAAAUUUUAUACUGGACAGAUCAGGUUAAAAGGAACCAACAAAGACCAGCAGAAGUAAACAAGUCCCAAAGGGCAGGCUGGUAUGUAUCUGAACCUGAUUAGGCAAUGCUCUAUUCAUUCCAACUGGUGGCACAGAUUGGGUGGAAAUGGACGGAUCCGGAAUCAGAGCUGUCACCUGGGAAGAAUGAACAGUCUAUAGAGACAGCCAGAUCUGGCCUUCAGAUGCUUGACAAUUCCACAGUUCUCUUCACACCAAACCUCAGUGCUAUUAACUG
rnacentral:lncRNA from 1 species